GUCGGCUGCCGGUGUACGUGGUGGCGCGCGGGUGGCUCGGCUCCAUUAGUAGCGGCCUGGCGGGGAGCCGGAGCCGGAGCGCCGCGCGCCUGGCCGGGAAGGAUGCGGGCGGAGGGGGCCCCGCGCGGGGAGGGCCAGGAGCGGUUCACCAGCCCGGGCAAGGGCCGGGGGCUGCGGGCCCGGCAGCGCUUCGCCCCCGGGGAGCUGCUCUUCAGCUGCCCGGCCUACACCUGCGUGCUGACCGUCAGCGAGCGGGGCAACCACUGCGAGUGCUGCUUCGCCAGGAAAGAAGGAUUGUCCAAGUGUGGAAGAUGUAAACAGGCAUUUUACUGCAAUGUGGAAUGUCAGAAAGCAGAUUGGCCUAUGCACAAGCUGGAAUGUUCUGCCAUGUGUGUUUUUGGGCAGAACUGGAAUCCCUCAGAGACCGUGAGACUGACUGCGAGGAUUCUUGCCAAACAGAAAACCCACCCUGAAAGAACACAGUCAGAAAAAUUGCUUGCAGUAAAAGAGUUUGAAUCACACCUUGAUAAACUAGACAAUGAAAAGAGAGAGCUGAUUCAGAAUGACAUUGCUGCGCUUCAUCACUUUUAUUCAAAGCACAUAGCGUACCCUGACAACGCUGCCCUUGUAGUCCUCUUUGCACAAGUUAAUUGUAAUGGCUUCACAAUUGAAGAUGAAGAACUGUCUCACUUGGGAUCAGCAAUAUUUCCUGAUGUUGCACUGAUGAACCAUAGUUGUUGCCCAAAUGUGAUUGUAACCUACAAAGGGACCUUAGCUGAAGUCCGAGCUGUUCAAGAGAUUGAAUCUGGAGAUGAGAUUUUUACCAGUUAUAUCGAUCUGUUGUACCCUACAGAAGAUAGAAAUGAUCGGUUAAGAGACUCCUAUUUCUUCACCUGUGACUGCAGGGAAUGCAUUACUAAAGAAAAGGACAAAGAUAAAUUGGAAAUCCGCAAACUGAGUGAACCUCCAUCAGCAGAAACUGUCCAAGACAUGAUCAAAUAUGCCCGAAAUGUGAUUGAGGAAUUCAGGAGAGCCAAACACUACAAAUCCCCUAGUGAAUUACUGGAGAUUUGUGAGCUUAGUCUGGACAAGAUGGGCUCCGUGUUUGAAGAUAGUAAUGUUUAUAUGCUGCAUAUGAUGUAUCAGGCCAUGGGAGUCUGUCUGUACAUGCAAGACUGGGAUGGUGCACUGCGCUAUGGGGAAAAAAUUAUCAAACCAUACAGGUAAAUUUAAGAGUUUUUUUUAUUUUUAAUUACAUAAUGCAGUAAGUUGAACACAUGUUUAAACGAAACAUAUGGGCAGGCAUCACUAAUCUGAUUGCACAUUGUAUAGAGAUGCACUGUACAGUAGUGAAUGUUCAUGGCCUGUUUAGAAGGAGAUGCAGGACCAGAUUGUCAGUGUUUACUUGAUCAGAAUAGGGCCAAGGUAUUAACAAUACUUGGCUUUUUGCAAAUUCCUACCACAGAAUUGCAGGACCUGUUUACACUCCCAGCUGUGUUUCCUUAUAUUGGUGCCUGUACUAAUCUUGCCUAGUUAAUGAAACAUGUGGUCAUCUCUAAUAUUGUAUUGAUAGUUUGCCUAAGAGUAGUUUUUUAAUCUUACCCUUGUCUGAAUACUGUAGUUAAUAUCCUGGCCCUUGCAUGUUAAUAGAGAUUCCAGUCGUCCUUUUGGUUCAUUUAAUUCUUCACCCCGUGGUAAAUGGCUACAACAAGGCUCUUUUUCCAUUGAAUGGACUGGGCAGCAGAGGGAGCUUGAACUCUGCUUCUCCUGAUUCCCAGACUGAGCUUGUCAAGUCCUUGAUGUUCUUGGCUACCUCUCCCAUGGAGCCUGAGAGAAUGUGCAAACUCAGGGCUCUUGCAUCGAGACAGGGUAGUGCAACCCAACCCAGCUAGAGCCACCCAGAUGUUACCUUUGAGAGGAAAACAAAGAAUCUCCCUUGUUUGGUUUCUUUUCUGGGCCAUGCUUCCGCUUGUUACAGAUAGUAGAUUAUGCAUGGGUCUGACCCUGCCACAGGUCUCCCCAGGAAGUUCUCAUCGAAAGGUGUAAUUUGCUCUCCAGCUGAGGGAGUGCAAGUGAACCUUUCCCUCUGGAUGCCAGUGUAAAGUCAUAGAUCAGCUGGCAGGGAGCUGUGAUUGUGCUGGCUCUCUCUUUCGCCCCGGGGCCUGAAUAGUAUUUAUCAUCCUUAUGACUUGCCCAGCUUCCACUGGCUCAGAGACUGGCAUUCCAGGUCAGCUGCUGAACCCAGCUCCUGCAGUUUAGUUUGCAGCAACUGUAGAGCUGCAUUCCAAAUACAUGUUCUGUACACCCCCCUCAGUCACCCACAUACACACACAAUGCUGACUGCGUGCCUUUGGAAUACAAAGAAUCCUUGGUGCUUAGGAGCAGGGCUGGCUCCGGGAAUUGGUAAUGAUACAGAGCUUUUUCACCCUUUUUGUUGGCCAGAUUAAAUCCAGUGACCGCGAGUCACUGCCACCUGAUGGCUGUUCAGAGGCCUGGGGUGGGUGAAAUGAACGUUGUGGUCUCAGUCCAAUUCCCAGUUGUGUCCACAUCCCACAAACAAUAGAUAUUAACUCAUGGCAAGCACAGCAGAGUGUGCAAGGAUUGAAUGUGCAGGGAGAAGGAACCAGCUUCUCACACCUAGAGCCAGGGAGAGGGGUUGUGGGGAAAUAUUGUGGAAACUUUUUGCAGGAUCUGAUUAAGCCAAGUUUUUCUUUUGCAGUAAGCAUUAUCCUUUAUACUCUCUGAACGUUGCCUCCAUGUGGCUGAAGUUAGGGAGGCUUUAUAUGGGACUUGAAAACAGAACUGCUGGAGUUACAGCUCUAAAAAAG